CGAGUGCGGGCCCUCUGGGUCCAACCUCCCAUCCGUGUCUAUUGUACCCUGUUGCUUCGGCGUGGCCGGCUUUCCCCCCCGGGGGGAGCCACCAGUGCCCGCCGGAGACUCCAACAUCUGAACACUGUCUGAAGAUUGCAGUCUGAGUUUAUAGUUAAACAAUCGUUAAAACUUUCAACAACGGAUCUCUUGGUUCCGGCAUCGAUGAAGAACGCAGCGAAAUGCGAUAACUAAUGUGAAUUGCAGAAUUCAGUGAAUCAUCGAGUCUUUGAACGCACAUUGCGCCCCCUGGUAUUCCGGGGGGCAUGCCUGUCCGAGCGUCAUUGCUGCCCUCAAGCACGGCUUGUGUGUUGGGCCACCGUCCCGGGGACUUCUGGUCCCUGGGACGGGCCCGAAAGGCAGCGGCGGCACCGUGUCUGGUCCUCGAGCGUAUGGGGCUUUGUCACCCGCUCCCGUAGGUCCAGCCGGCGGCCAGCCUCGCAACCAACCAUUCUUUAACCAGGUUGACCUCGGAUCAGGUAGGGAUACCCGCUGAACUUAAGCAUAUC
rnacentral:rRNA from 1 species